CUGAAUAUGUGAUGGCCCCAUCCCGGGGUACUGAAUAUAAUCAAACUCCGAAUGUCACAGAGACAUGCUCGGCAGUCAGACAGCGGGUGAUAAGGUCCACUGUCAAGAGGGAAACAGCCCAGACCAUCAGCUAAGGUCCCAAAAUAUAUACUAAGUGGAAAAGGAUGUGGAGAUGUCCAGACAACUAGGAGGUUGGCUCAGAAGCAGCCAUCCUUUAAAGAGUGCGUAACAGCUCACUAGUCGAAUGACUCUGCGCCGAUAAUUUACCGGGGCUAAGUAUAUUACCGAAGCUAUGGAUUUGCGAUGAGCAAGUGGUAGGGGAGCGUUCUAUGAGCGAAGAAGCAGUACCGGAAGGAGCUGUGGAGCAUAUAGAAGAGAGAAUGCCGGUGUGAGUAGCGGAACGUGGGUGAGAAUCCCACGCACCGAAAACCCAAGGUUUCCAGAGGAAGGUUCGUCCGCUCUGGGUAAGUCGGGACCUAAGGCGAGGCCGAGAGGCGUAGUCGAUGGACAACAGGUAGAGAUUCCUGUACUUACGGUAUGAAUGAAGGAGUGACGGAGAAGGCUAGGUGAUCCUGCGGCUGGAAGAGCAGGUGCAAGCGAGGUAGCAGAUAUCCAGGCAAAUCCGGAUAUCGGGAAAGCGAAGGCGUGAAGCGGAUGGAAAGCCAAGGCAAGUACAGAAGUCAUUGAAGCCAGCUUCCAAGAAAAGCUUCUAGUGAUAAUCAUACAGUAACCCGUACCGAAAAUGGACACACAUGGGUGAGGAGAGAAUCCUAAGGUGAGCGAGAGAACUAUAGCUAAGGAACUCUGCAAAAUGACUCCGUAACUUAGGGAGAAGGAGUGCUCAUAGAGAUAUGAGCCGCAGUGAAACGGCCCAAGCGACUGUUUACCAAAAACACAGCUCUAUGCUAAGUCGAAAGACGACGUAUAUGGGGUGACGCCUGCCCGGUGCUGGAAGGUUAAGAGGAUGUGUCAGCGCAAGCGAAGCACUGAAUUGAAGCCCCAGUAAACGGCGGCCGUAACUAUAACGGUCCUAAGGUAGCGAAAUUCCUUGUCAGGU
rnacentral:rRNA from 1 species